CCUCCCUCCCUCCCCGUGCCCCAGUCGACCGGCCGCCGUCGCUCAGUCUGCACCGUGCUGCUCUGUGGAAGCUGCUUAAACGGACCAUCAUCACUUCUUUUCUUCUCGCGGAGGUUGAAUGAGAUGAGCGUUCUCCCUCCCUCCCCCUCUGGGUGGAUACGCGUCGUUGUUGAAGGUGACUUUGCUGGCGGGGAGCUGAACUUCGUCCAGUUGGUUGGACAGUAAGCGCACGUUGGAGAGAAAGAUGCCUGGCAGCGGGAAC
ensembl:lncRNA